rnacentral:tRNA from 1 species
AGCUUUUAAGUUUUUAAUAAAAAAAUUUUUAUUUGUGGUGUAAAAGAUUGUGAAGUUAU